rnacentral:rRNA from 1 species
AGAGUUUGGAUCCUGGCUCAGGACGAACGUUGGCGGUGCGCUUAAUGCAUGCAAGUCGAGGGAGAACCUUUCGAUCCGUAAGGACCGAAUGGGGAAACCGGCGAACGGGUGCGUAACACGUGAGGAACCUGCCCCGAAGACCGGGAUAGCCCGAGGAAACUCGGAUUAAUACCGGAUACCCUCCUCGGACCACAUGGUCUGUUGAGGAAAUGGUCCGCCGCUUCGGGAUGGCCUCGCGGCCUAUCAGCUUGUUGGUGAGGUAAUGGCUCACCAAGGCAAAGACGGGUAGCUGGUCUGAGAGGACGAUCAGCCACACUGGGACUGAGACACGGCCCAGACUCCUACGGGAGGCAGCAGCAGGGAAUAUUGCACAAUGGGCGAAAGUCUGAUGCAGCGACACCGCGUGCGGGAUGAAGGCCCUCGGGUUGUAAACCGCUUUCAGGAGGGACGAAAAUGACGGUACCUCCAGAAGAAGGCCCGGCCAACUACGUGCCAGCAGCCGCGGUAAUACGUAGGGGCCAAACGUUGUCCGGAUUUAUUGGGCGUAAAGGGCUCGUAGGCGGUUCAACAAGUCGAUCGUGAAAGCCCGGGGCUCAACCCCGGGACGCCGGUCGAAACUGUUGUGACUAGGGUCCGGUAGAGGUGAGUGGAAUUCUCGGUGUAGCGGUGGAAUGCGCAGAUAUCGAGAGGAACACCAGC